GACGAACGCUGGCGGCGUGCUUAACACAUGCAAGUCGAACGGAGAAGCUCUUCGGAGGGGGUGAGUUGCGAAGGGGUGAGUAAGAGUUGGGCAACAUUCACCUGGCCUUGGGAUUAGUCUGAGAAAAUGAGGCUAAUACUGGUAGUUCAUCGCUUCUCGUACUGGUGGGGGUGGAAAGGGUAUUCGGGUGGGGAUGGGCCCGCGGCCCAUCAGCUUGUUGGGGGGGUAGUGGCCUACCAAGGCGAGGACGGGUAGCCGGCCUGAGAGGGUGACCGGCCACACUGGGACUGAGACACGGCCCAGACUCCUACGGGAGGCAGCAGUGGGGAAUAUUGCGCAAUGGGCGGAAGCCUGACGCAGCGACGCCGCGUGGGGGAUGACGGCCUUCGGGUUGUAAACCGCUUUCGGCAGUGACGAAGCGCAAGUGACGGUACCUGCAAAAGAAGCACCGGCCAACUACGUG
rnacentral:rRNA from 1 species